GCCGGGCGCUGUGGUGCAUGCCUGUAAUCCCAGCAGCUUGGGAGGCUGAGGUAGGAGGAUCACAAGUUCAAAGUCAGCCUCAGCAACAGCAAGGUACUAAACAACUCAGGAAGACUCUGUCUCUA
rnacentral:sRNA from 1 species